rnacentral:rRNA from 1 species
AUUGAACGCUGGCGGCAGGCCUAACACAUGCAAGUCGAACGAGUGGCGGACGGGUGAGUAAUGUCUGGGAAACUGCCUGAUGGAGGGGGAUAACUACUGGAAAGGGUAGCUAGUACCGCAUACCAUCAGAUGUGCCCAGAUGGGAUUAGCUAGUGGGUGGGGUAACGGCUCACACAGGCGACGAUCUCUAGCUGUUCUUAGAGGAUGACCUGCCAGCCGGUAACUGAGACGCUGCCCAGGCUCCUACGGUAGGUAGCAGUGGGGAAUAUUGCGCAAUGGGCGAAAGCCUGAUGCCGCCCUGUCGCGUGUAUUACGAAGGUCUUGGGGUUGUAAAGUACUCGCGGAGGGUAGGCGUUACCCGCAGGAGAAGCAGCGGGUAACUCCGUGCCAGCAGCCGCGGUAAUUC